GACGAACGCUGGCGGCGUGCUUAACACAUGCAAGUCGAACGGAAAGGCCCUGCUUUUGUGGGGUGCUCGAGUGGCGAACGGGUGAGUAACACGUGAGUAACCUGCCCUUGUCUUUGUGAUAACUUCAGGAAACUGGGGCUAAUACCGGAUAGGAGCUCCUGCUGCAUGGUGGGGGUUGGAAAGUUUCGGCGGUUGGGGAUGGACUCGCGGCUUAUCAGCUUGUUGGUGGGGUAGUUGCUUACCAAGGCUUUGACGGGUAGCCGGCCUGAGAGGGUGAACGGCCACAAUGGGACUGAGAUACGGCCCAGACUCCUACGGGAGGCAGAAGUGGGGAAUAUUGCACAAUGGGCGGAAGCCUGAUGCAGCAACGCCGGGUGCGGGAUGACGGCCUUCGGGUUGUAAACCGCUUUCGCCUGUGACGAAGCGUGAGUGACGGUAAUGGGUAAAGAAGCACCGGCUAACUACGUG
rnacentral:rRNA from 1 species